ACCAGAUGGAAUCUAGAAUUAUCCCGCACAAUCCUCUGGAUCUCUCUAGAUUGGGCUGAUUGGAGCAGAAAGACAACUCUGAAUGAGCUAACCCGACAGAAACUCCCACUGUCCAUCAACCUAAAGCCAUGUAUGAGGAUGUUCACAUCUGCGUUAUUUGGAGGCAAAGAGCUGGAGAAGUCAGUGCUCAAGAGAGGCAGAAUGGAUAAAAUCUGACCUGCAUUGAACUUGGAUGUCCAGUAUAUCUGAUAAGAUUAGAAGGCGAUGGAGUCAUCGUUUGGGGAUCAUAAACAAUGCUGUGAAACUAUGGGUAAAAACUCCUGGCAGAAUCAAGUUUUGUGAAACAUCAGAAGUGGCAACCAUUCCAACAGCCAUAGGCAAAUGAACUCAUAGAGAAAGAAAAAGAACAUUCCAUGGAUUAUGCAGAGAGGGAACCUAAGAAGAUGGAACUCAGUCUGAGCCAGAAAAAAAAAAAAUUCUCUUGACCACAUCUGGAUGGGAACUUUGCCAAUUCUACUGGAGAGCGGCUCCGGAGUUUGCCGAGUUGAAUGGAGUGGCAUCUGCGGUUUGCUGUAAGUGCUGUGUGUACUGUAAUUAACGUUUUAAACAAAUCAUCUUCCAGGUCAGCCAUAGUGAGGCUGCCCUCACUUUCACCUGAGCUCCUCGUUCGUGUACUUGACCUGAAGGUGCAAAGCCUUUUUCUAGAAAUGUUUUGAGGCCUUAAGUCAACGAGAAGAAGAAAACAUAAGCCAGAAUCCAUGUUCUGGGGGCUCUGGAGACAGCUUAUUUGCACCGUGGGAAGGAAAAUGACACAGUCCACAAGCUCCAGAAUAACCCCCAAGAACCAUGGUCCUCCUGUGCACGAUAUUUUAGGAAAGCAUUUCCUACUUUUAAAUCGUUAUUCCAGACAUCUUUCUAUGCAUGCACAUAAAUAAAGAAAAAUGGGCAAUGAAGGCCAUAAGAGGCUGAUGGACACUGAAUUACAGUCACACAGUUCACAGUAUACUUGAACAGAAUGCCAUGUGAAAUCUGUCAUUUUGUGUAAGCAACACACAGUAAAAAUAAGUACAUAAAAGAAAACCCUGGAUUGCCCUCCUUAUAGCAUUGUCUCAGUACUUCCAAUAUAUUUUACACUUCAAAAAAGUCCAUUGAAAUUGAAAAAUAUAAACCUACAAAAUGCAACAAUAUUGAA